GGUCAAGUGAAGAAGCGCAUACGGUGGAUGCCUUGGCAGUCAGAGGCGAUGAAAGACGUGGUAGCCUGCGAAAAGCUUCGGGGAGUCGGCAAACAGACUGUGAUCCGGAGAUGUCUGAAUGGGGGAACCCAGCCAUCACAAGAUGGUUAUCUUACACUGAAUACAUAGGUGUAAGAGGCGAACCAGGGGAACUGAAACAUCUAAGUACCCUGAGGAAAAGAAAUCAACCGAGAUUCCCUUAGUAGUGGCGAGCGAACGGGGACCAGCCCUUAAGUUGUAUUGAGAUUAGCGGAACGCUCUGGAAAGUGCGGCCAUAGUGGGUGAUAGCCCUGUACGCGAAAAUCCCUUUGCAAUGAAAUCGAGUAGGACGGGGCACGAGAAACCUUGUCUGAAUAUGGGGGGACCAUCCUCCAAGGCUAAAUACUACUGACUGACCGAUAGUGAACCAGUACCGUGAGGGAAAGGCGAAAAGAACCGCGGAGAGCGGAGUGAAAUAGAUCCUGAAACCGUAUGCGUACAAGCAGUGGGAGCCCACUUUGUUGGGUGACUGCGUACCUUUUGUAUAAUGGGUCAGCGACUUAUUUUCAGUGGCGAGCUUAACCGAAUAGGGGAGGCGUAGCGAAAGCGAGUCUUAAUAGGGCGUCUAGUCGCUGGGAAUAGACCCGAAACCGGGCGAUCUAUCCAUGGGCAGGUUGAAGGUUGGGUAACACUAACUGGAGGACCGAACCGACUACCGUUGAAAAGUUAGCGGAUGACCUGUGGAUCGGAGUGAAAGGCUAAUCAAGCUCGGAGAUAGCUGGUUCUCCUCGAAAGCUAUUUAGGUAGCGCCUCAUGUAUCACUGUAGGGGGUAGAGCACUGUUUCGGCUAGGGGGUCAUCCCGACUUACCAAACCGAUGCAAACUCCGAAUACCUACAAGUGCCGAGCAUGGGAGACACACGGCGGGUGCUAACGUCCGUCGUGAAAAGGGAAACAACCCAGACCGUCAGCUAAGGUCCCAAAGUCAUGGUUAAGUGGGAAACGAUGUGGGAAGGCUUAGACAGCUAGGAGGUUGGCUUAGAAGCAGCCACCCUUUAAAGAAAGCGUAAUAGCUCACUAGUCGAGUCGGCCUGCGCGGAAGAUGUAACGGGGCUCAAACCAUGCACCGAAGCUACGGGUAUCACCUUUGGUGAUGCGGUAGAGGAGCGUUCUGUAAGCCUGUGAAGGUGAGUUGAGAAGCUUGCUGGAGGUAUCAGAAGUGCGAAUGCUGACAUGAGUAACGACAAUGGGUGUGAAAAACACCCACGCCGAAAGACCAAGGUUUCCUGCGCAACGUUAAUCGACGCAGGGUUAGUCGGUCCCUAAGGCGAGGCUGAAAAGCGUAGUCGAUGGAAAACAGGUUAAUAUUCCUGUACUUCUGGUUAUUGCGAUGGAGGGACGGAGAAGGCUAGGCCAGCCUGGCGUUGGUAGUCCAGGUUUAAGGUGGUAGGCUGAGAUCUUAGGUAAAUCCGGGAUCUUAAGGCCGAGAGCUGAUGACGAGUGUUCUUUUAGAACAUGAAGUGGUUGAUGCCAUGCUUCCAAGAAAAGCUUCUAAGCUUCAGGUAACCAGGAACCGUACCCCAAACCGACACAGGUGGUUGGGUAGAGAAUACCAAGGCGCUUGAGAGAACUCGGGUGAAGGAACUAGGCAAAAUGGCACCGUAACUUCGGGAGAAGGUGCGCCGGUGAGGGUGAAGCAUUUACUGCGUAAGCCCACGCCGGUCGAAGAUACCAGGCCGCUGCGACUGUUUAUUAAAAACACAGCACUCUGCAAACACGAAAGUGGACGUAUAGGGUGUGACGCCUGCCCGGUGCCGGAAGGUUAAUUGAUGGGGUUAGCGCAAGCGAAGCUCUUGAUCGAAGCCCCGGUAAACGGCGGCCGUAACUAUAACGGUCCUAAGGUAGCGAGAUUCCUUGUCGGGUAAGUUCCGACCUGCACGAAUGGCGUAACGAUGGCGGCGCUGUCUCCACCCGAGACUCAGUGAAAUUGAAAUCGCUGUGAAGAUGCAGUGUAUCCGCGGCUAGACGGAAAGACCCCGUGAACCUUUACUAUAGCUUUGCACUGGACUUUGAAUUUGCUUGUGUAGGAUAGGUGGGAGGCUUUGAAGCGUGGACGCCAGUCUGCGUGGAGCCAACCUUGAAAUACCACCCUGGCAACUUUGAGGUUCUAACUCAGGUCCGUUAUCCGGAUCGAGGACAGUGUAUGGUGGGUAGUUUGACUGGGGCGGUCUCCUCCUAAAGAGUAACGGAGGAGUACGAAGGUGCGCUCAGACCGGUCGGAAAUCGGUCGUAGAGUAUAAAGGCAAAAGCGCGCUUGACUGCGAGACAGACACGUCGAGCAGGUACGAAAGUAGGUCUUAGUGAUCCGGUGGUUCUGUAUGGAAGGGCCAUCGCUCAACGGAUAAAAGGUACUCCGGGGAUAACAGGCUGAUACCGCCCAAGAGUUCAUAUCGACGGCGGUGUUUGGCACCUCGAUGUCGGCUCAUCACAUCCUGGGGCUGAAGCCGGUCCCAAGGGUAUGGCUGUUCGCCAUUUAAAGUGGUACGCGAGCUGGGUUUAGAACGUCGUGAGACAGUUCGGUCCCUAUCUGCCGUGGACGUUUGAGAUUUGAGAGGGGCUGCUCCUAGUACGAGAGGACCGGAGUGGACGAACCUCUGGUGUUCCGGUUGUCACGCCAGUGGCAUUGCCGGGUAGCUAUGUUCGGAAAAGAUAACCGCUGAAAGCAUCUAAGCGGGAAACUUGCCUCAAGAUGAGAUCUCACUGGAACCUAGAGUUCCCUGAAGGGCCGUCGAAGACUACGACGUUGAUAGGUUGGGUGUGUAAGCGCUGUGAGGCGUUGAGCUAACCAAUACUAAUUGCCCGUGAGGCUUGACCAU
rnacentral:rRNA from 1 species